GCCCUAUUUAGGCUUUCUUUAUUGCAAGUUCUGUUUAAUUAAGAUUUUCUUAUCCCCUGCUAUGUUAAUAGCUUGCUAGACCCUGCAAGAGCCUCCUGUAUGUGAUUAAAGUUCAAUUUAGAGAUUGAGAUAUAAUUAUUUAAGGUAAAUUACAUCUGUUUGAAAGUGAAACCAGUUUUUUUUUUCAUGCAGGCUCUGUCAAUCAUAGCCAGGGGAG